GCUCGGCAGGGACGGUGGCUGUGCAGGGAGGGGCUCGGGCUGGGACGGUGGCUGGGCUUGGCAGGGACGGUGGCUGGGUUCGGCAGGGACGGUGGCUGAGCUCGGGCUGGGACGGUGGCUGGGCUCGGCAGGGACGGUGGCUGGGCUUGGGGCUACUGUUACCGCACCAAUUAUUCCUAAAAACAUGGGAAUUUUUCCGCACCUCAAGUCGAUGACUUGGACCAUGGAAAAUUGCAGCUCGGACCAAGCAAAGAGAACGGCGGUCAUCACACUAAAGGUUUUUGAAAUAUGGGAACUAGCAAAACAGAAGUAAAUUUAAGAAGAUUACUUGUUGCUGCACCUAAACAGCAGAACCAAGGAAAGCUUGUUCAUGCUUUUGGGCCAUAACAAUAUCUAAUAGAGCAAAAAUGUGCAUAUGUAUAAAGGAAGUUGAAGAGUUAUGGAAGCAGGUCUAUAUUGAGAUGCAUAUCUUUGGCGCAAUACAAGACAACAUUGACAGUUGAAGUUUUUAGAAUAAAAAAUAUAUUUCACUAACAUUGGAUACAUUUCUUGUUUAAUAUUUGGUGAUGAUAAAAUUUGAUUAUAGUAUAAACUAUCAUGUAAUAUAAUUUUGUAAGUCGAGUAGACUAAAUACUGAAAUUAUAUUUUUGAGUAAUUAAUAA